rnacentral:rRNA from 1 species
AGACCCGAAACCCGGUGAUCUAGCCAUGGGCAGGUUGAAGGUUGGGUAACACUAACUGGAGGACCGAACCGACUAAUGUUGAAAAAUUAGCGGAUGACCUGUGGCUGGGGGUGAAAGGCCAAUCAAACCGGGAGAUAGCUGGUUCUCCCCGAAAGCUAUUUAGGUAGCGCCUCGUGAAUUCAUCUCCGGGGGUAGAGCACUGUUUCGGCUAGGGGGCCAUCCCGGCUUACCAACCCGAUGCAAACUGCGAAUACCGGAGAAUGUUAUCACGGGAGACACACGGCGGGUGCUAACGUCCGUCGUGAAGAGGGAAACAACCCAGACCGCCAGCUAAGGUCCCAAAGUCAUGGUUAAGUGGGAAACGAUGUGGGAAGGCCCAGACAGCCAGGAUGUUGGCUUAGAAGCAGCCAUCAUUUAAAGAAAGCGUAAUAGCUCACUGGUCGAGUCGGCCUGCGCGGAAGAUGUAACGGGGCUAAACCAUGCACCGAAGCUGCGGCAGCGACACUCAGGUGUUGUUGGGUAGGGGAGCGUUCUGUAAGCCUGUGAAGGUGGCCUGUGAGGGUUGCUGGAGGUAUCAGAAGUGCGAAUGCUGACAUAAGUAACGAUAAAGCGGGUGAAAAGCCCGCUCGCCGGAAGACCAAGGGUUCCUGUCCAACGUUAAUCGGGGCAGGGUGAGUCGACCCCUAAGGCGAGGCCGAAAGGCGUAGUCGAUGGGAAACGGGUUAAUAUUCCCGUACUUGGUGUUACUGCGAAGGGGGGACGGAGAAGGCUAUGUUGGCCGGGCGACGGUUGUCCCGGUUUAAGCGUGUAGGCUGGUUUUCCAGGCAAAUCCGGAAAAUCAAGGCUGAGGCGUGACGACGAGGCACUACGGUGCUGAAGCAACAAAUGCCCUGCUUCCAGGAAAAGCCUCUAAGCAUCAGGUAACAUCAAAUCGUACCCCAAACCGACACAGGUGGUCAGGUAGAGAAUACCAAGGCGCUUGAGAGAACUCGGGUGAAGGAACUAGGCAAAAUGGUGCCGUAACUUCGGGAGAAGGCACGCUGACACGUAGGUGAAGUGAUUUACUCACGGAGCUGAAGUCAGUCGAAGAUACCAGCUGGCUGCAACUGUUUAUUAAAAACACAGCACUGUGCAAACACGAAAGUGGACGUAUACGGUGUGACGCCUGCCCGGUGCCGGAAGGUUAAUUGAUGGGGUCAGCGCAAGCGAAGCUCCUGAUCGAAGCCCCGGUAAACGGCGGCCGUAACUAUAACGGUCCUAAGGUAGCGAAAUUCCUUGUCGGGUAAGUUCCGACCUGCACGAAUGGCGUAAUGAUGGCCAGGCUGUCUCCACCCGAGACUCAGUGAAAUUGAACUCGCUGUGAAGAUGCAGUGUACCCGCGGCAAGACGGAAAGACCCCGUGAACCUUUACUAUAGCUUGACACUGAACAUUGAGCCUUGAUGUGUAGGAUAGGUGGGAGGCUUUGAAGUGUGGACGCCAGUCUGCAUGGAGCCGGCCUUGAAAUACCACCCUUUAAUGUUUGAUGUUCUAACGUGGACCCGUGAUCCGGGUUGCGGACAGUGUCUGGUGGGUAGUUUGACUGGGGCGGUCUCCUCCUAAAGAGUAACGGAGGAGCACGAAGGUUGGCUAAUCCUGGUCGGACAUCAGGAGGUUAGUGCAAUGGCAUAAGCCAGCUUGACUGCGAGCGUGACGGCGCGAGCAGGUGCGAAAGCAGGUCAUAGUGAUCCGGUGGUUCUGAAUGGAAGGGCCAUCGCUCAACGGAUAAAAGGUACUCCGGGGAUAACAGGCUGAUACCGCCCAAGAGUUCAUAUCGACGGCGGUGUUUGGCACCUCGAUGUCGGCUCAUCACAUCCUGGGGCUGAAGUAGGUCCCAAGGGUAUGGCUGUUCGCCAUUUAAAGUGGUACGCGAGCUGGGUUUAGAACGUCGUGAGACAGUUCGGUCCCUAUCUGCCGUGGGCGCUGGAGAACUGAGGGGGGCUGCUCCUAGUACGAGAGGACCGGAGUGGACGCAUCACUGGUGUUCGGGUUGUCAUGCCAAUGGCACUGCCCGGUAGCUAAAUGCGGAAGAGAUAAGUGCUGAAAGCAUCUAAGCACGAAACUUGCCCCGAGA